rnacentral:rRNA from 1 species
GACGAACGCUGGCGGCGUGCUUAACACAUGCAAGUCGAACGGAAAGGCCCUGCUUUUGUGGGGUGCUCGAGUGGCGAACGGGUGAGUAACACGUGAGUAACCUGCCCUUGACUUUGGGAUAACUUCAGGAAACUGGGGCUAAUACCGGAUAGGAGCUCCUGCUGCAUGGUGGGGGUUGGAAAGUGUCGGCGGUUGGGGAUGGACUCGCGGCUUAUCAGCUUGUUGGUGGGGUAGUGGCUUACCAAGGCUUUGACGGGUAGCCGGCCUGGGAGGGUGACCGGCCACAUUGGGACUGCGGUACGGCCCAGACUCCUACGGGAGGCAGCAGUGGGGAAUAUUGCACAAUGGGCGGAAGCCUGAUGCAGCAACGCUGCGUGCGGGAUGACGGCCUUCGGGUUGUAAACCGCUUUCGCCUGUGCCGAAGCGUGAGUGACGGUAAUGGGUAAAGAAGCACCGGCUAACUACGUG